ACGGCUCAGUAACACGUGGACAACCUACCCUUAGGACUGGGAUAAACCUGGGAAACUGGGUAUAAUACCGGAUAGGGCUCGGAUGCUGGAAUGCAUCGAGUCCCAAAGCUCCGGCGCCUAAGGAUGGGUCUGCGGCCCAUCAGGGUAGUAGUGGGUGUAAUGUACCUACUAGCCUACGACGGGUACGGGUCGUGAGAGCGAGAGCCCGGAGAUGGAUUCUGAGACACGAAUCCAGGCCCUACGGGGUGCAGCAGGCGCGAAAACUUUACAAUGCUGGAAACAGCGAUAGGGGGACUUUGAGUGCCAGGAUACAAUCUUGGCUGUCGUCGUGCCUAAAAAGCACGGCAUAGCAAGGGCCGGGCAAGACCGGUGCCAGCCGCCGCGGUAACACCGGCGGCUCGAGUGGUAACCGCUAUUAUUGGGUCUAAAGGGUCUGUAGCCGGCUGAAAAAGUCUCUUGGGAAAUCCGAUAGCUUAACUAUCGGGCUUUCAGGAGAUACUCUUCGGCUCGAGACCGGGAGAGGUGAGAGGUACUUCAUGGGUAGGGGUGAAAUCUUGUAAUCCUUGAAGGACCACCAGUGGCGAAGGCGUCUCACCAGAACGGAUCUGACGGCAAGGGACGAAAGCUAGGGGCACGAACCGGAUUAGAUACCCGGGUAGUCCUAGCCGUAAACGAUACUCGCUAGGUGUCGGCCACGGUGCGACCGUGGUCGGUGCCGUAGGGAAGCCGUGAAGCGAGCCACCUGGGAAGUACGGCCGCAAGGCUGAAACUUAAAGGAAUUGGCGGGGGAGCAC
rnacentral:rRNA from 1 species